AAGCCCCUGUGUUUUUCAAUGGGAUAGGUUUAAAGUCAAUACAACACAUCAGGUAUCCACUUCCUGUCAGAAAAUGUCUCAGGGUUUUGCCUGCCAAAUGAGUUCUGUUAUACUCACAGACACCAUUCAAACAGUUUUAGAAACUUUAGAGUGUUUUCUAUCCAUAUAUAAUAAGUAUAUGCAUAUUCUAGUUACUGGGUAGGAUUAGUAACCAGAUUAAAUCGGGUACAUUUUUUUUUAUCCAGACGUGCAAAUGCUGCCCCCUAGCCCUAACAGGUUAAGGACAGAAAAGUCAAGGUAUUGGAGUGGCCAUCACAAAGCCCUGACCUCAAUCCCAUAGAAAAUUUGUGGACAGUGCUGAAAAAGCACGUGUGAGCAAGGAGGCCUACAAACCUGACUCGGUUACACCAGCUCUGUCAAGCGGAAUGGGCCAAAUUCACCCAACUUAUUGUGGGAAACUUGUGGAAGGCUACCUGAAACGUUUGACCCAAGUUAAACAAUUUAAAAGUAAUGCUACCAAAUACUAAUUGAGUGUAUGUAAACUUCUGACCCACUGGGAAUGCGAUGAAAGAAAUAAAAGCUGAAAUAAAUCAUUCUCUCUACUAUUAUUCUGACAUUUCACAUUCUUAAAAUAAAGUGGUGAUCCUAGCUGACCUAAGACAGGGAAUUUUUACUUGGAUUAAAUGUCAGGAAUUGUGAAACUGAGUUUAAAUGUAUUUGGCUAAGAUGUAUGUAAACUUCCGACUUCAACUGUAUGUUAAUAGAUAUUGGCAUACAUUUGGGUUUACAAAUUUUGCAGACAUUUUUUGUUAACAAUGUUUUAUUGUAUAAUGUUGGAAGACCUGCACCCAUGCCUAUUUCAGCUCACCCCACACCUGAGAUGCCUUUCAAUCACUUGAUGAUGGAUUUUAUCGAGCUCUCUACCUGUCAGGGUAAGUACUUACAGGAAGGCCGAUGAAGAUGGACAACACGCCAGUGAAGCAGGCCCAGUUUACCUUGACUGGUGGGGACGACCAGAUGGUAAAGUAUAUGAUAGAUUUCAGAGUUUUGUUUAGUUCUAUCUAUACACAGGUGCCGAGCUGCCCUGCCCAAGCCAAAGGGAGGACAGCUGCAUAUGAUCUCCCCUGGCGACUGGAUCGUGGUGAAGAAUCUGAGACGAAUGCACUGGCACCAACCUCGGUGGAGGGGACCAUACCAAGUGCUGCUGACCCCUCCGACUAUGGUCAGGAUCGCUGAAAGGGACAACUGGAUCCAAGGAUCCCACUGCCUGAACGUGGGCAACCCUGAGGACGAUCAGAUAUGAGAAAUAAAAAAGAGAUGGAGCUACUGAGGCCUGCACUUCUUAUUGUCUUUAUCUCAAAAGCAAUUGCAAAACC
rnacentral:lncRNA from 1 species